rnacentral:lncRNA from 1 species
GGUUAACCUCAUGUACCUGGAGACGCUUAAGGUUCAGUUUAAAGUAUGAGAACCAUCGUGUAUGUUCCUGGCUCUUGCCCAGGCCACAGAACUCAGUUUGCUCCUCACCUCAGCGCACUGGUUCCCACUCUGGCGUCAGGUUCAGUGAAGAACGCUUGCAGGGAACCAGUGGUCAGCACUACAGAAAAGGUGGUAUCAGGACUUGGGAGGCGGCCUGUGCUCUCUGAGCGUCGGGAGAGCUGGAUGCUUCCUACCUUCUUCUUACUGCGGUAUACCAAUCUCGCUGAAGGCUGUGCACACCUCCAUUUACUUAUCAUUUAUUUUGCUUGCUACGCUAGAAAGAUGCACUGACGGGACAAGAAAUAUAAAAUAAGCGAACUUAAUGAGAUAAAACUUAAAAUACACA